rnacentral:rRNA from 1 species
ACAGCCCACCAAGGCGACGAUCGGUAGCCGACCUGAGAGGGUGAUCGGCCACAUUGGAACUGAGAGACGGUCCAGACUCCUACGGGAGGCAGCAGUGGGGAAUAUUGGGCAAUGGGCGAAAGCCUGACCCAGCAACGCCGCGUGAGGGAAGAAGGGUUUCGGCUCGUAAACCUCUGUCCUAUGGGACGAAGGGAGUGACGGUACCAUAGGAGGAAGCCCCGGCUAACUAC